UCUCAUGGACGAGCAAAGAAAGUAGUAUCUUGAGAUGGAAUCUACUCCUGGUGAAGACGCUGUGAG
rnacentral:pre_miRNA from 1 species